AAUUCUCAACCUCUCUAGUUUUUUGAACUGGUUAGGCUUGGAUUUUGGAAGUUGCUGGCUCACUAUGAAUCAGCUCUUCUUAAAUAUAUUAGCGAAGAUCUUUGCUGCUCAUCAUUGGUAUGAUAAUUAUCUAUAUCAUUGAUAACCAGUGUCCCUCACGGGAGAGGUCUUGCUUCUAAUAGUCUUUUUAAAGACAAUCUGAUAAC
rnacentral:misc_RNA from 1 species